UACGUAGGUGCAAGCGUUAUCCGGAAUUAUUGGGCGUAAAGAGCUCGUAGGCGGUUUGUCGCGUCUGCUGUGAAAACUGGAGGCUCAACCUCCAGCCUGCAGUGGGUACGGGCAGACUAGAGUGCGGUAGGGGAGAUUGGAAUUCCUGGUGUAGCGGUGGAAUGCGCAGAUAUCAGGAGGAACACCGAUGGCGAAGGCAGAUCUCUGGGCCGUAACUGACGCUGAGGAGCGAAAGCAUGG
rnacentral:rRNA from 1 species